UCCCAGAAUUAGCAUUGAAAUUCUCAUCACUGGAUGCCUUGCUCACAUCAUCUGAAGGUGGCGUGGUUGAUGAGGGUGAAUGGUCACAGCUGUCAAUUACUGGCUGGGCAUCAGGCUUUCAGGCUUAGGCCGGCAAGAUGUUCGGCUCCUUUUCUUCCUUACAGCACUCCUAAUGCCAUCAAACUGAGGAAGACCACAAUCUUCCAUGAUGACAAAUCCGUAAUAGCCCAGUGGCUUCCACUCAGAUCAUGAGAUAAAGAUAAACCAUAAAAACCGUGAACUCCAAAGAC
rnacentral:misc_RNA from 1 species